CGCAUCUGUGCAUGCAGCAUAUCAAUAAGCGGAGGAAAAGAAACUAACAAGGAUUCCCUUAGUAACGGCGAGUGAAGCGGGAAGAGCUCAAAUUUGAAAUCUUCAAGGUUUUACCUUGACGAAUUGUAGUUUAAAGAAGUGUUUUCUGUUGAAGUUUUGGUAAAAGUUCUUUGGAAUAGGACAUCAUAGAGGGUGAGAAUCCCGUAUUUGACCAUUAUUUUUAGCUGUGUGAUACACUUUCAAAGAGUCGGAUUGUUUGGGAAUGCAGUCCAAAAUGGGUGGUAAAUUUCAUCUAAAGCUAAAUAUUGGCGAGAGACCGAUAGCGAACAAGUACCGUGAGGGAAAGAUGAAAAGAACUUUGAAAAGAGAGUUAAACAGUACGUGAAAUUGUCAAAAGGGAAGCGUUUGACACCAGUGUUGUUUUCUCGAAAAUCAAUUAAAAAGAGUUAGAUUUUGUUGUGUAUUGACCUUAACAGCUUGCAUUUCAAUUUUCUUGCUUUUUUUAAUGCACUUUUCGUUUAACAAGUCAACAUCAGUUUCUUUUGUUGUAAAAAGGUCAUUGGAAGGUGGCUUUCUUUUCGGAGAAAGUGUUUAUAGCCUUUGACUCCUGCAAUCGGAGAGACUGAGGUCUGCAGCGUAGAUCCUUCGGGGUUAGAUACAUUUGUGCUAAGUUAUAGCUUUUUAUAGACAACUUGUUGACUAUGAUUAGGUCUUGUAGCUUACUCGCUUAUGCUAUUUUACCUACGCUUAGGAUGUUGAUGUGAUACUGCGAGCA
rnacentral:rRNA from 1 species